rnacentral:rRNA from 1 species
AUUGAACGCUGGCGGCAUGCUUUACACAUGCAAGUCGAACGGUAACAGGCCGCAAGGUGCUGACGAGUGGCGAACGGGUGAGUAAUGCAUCGGAACGUGCCCAGUCGUGGGGGAUAACUACUCGAAAGAGUAGCUAAUACCGCAUACGAUCUAUGGAUGAAAGCGGGGGACCGUAAGGCCUCGCGCGAUUGGAGCGGCCGAUGUCAGAUUAGGUAGUUGGUGGGGUAAGGGCUCACCAAGCCCACGAUCUGUAGCUGGUCUGAGAGGACGACCAGCCACACUGGGACUGAGACACGGCCCAGACGCCUACGGGAGGCAGCAGUGGGGAAUUUUGGACAAUGGGCGCAAGCCUGAUCCAGCAAUGCCGCGUGCAGGAAGAAGGCCUUCGGGUUGUAAACUGCUUUUGUACGGAACGAAACGGCUCUGGUUAAUACCCGGGGCUAAUGACGGUACCGGAAGAAGAAGCACCGGCUAACUACGUG